rnacentral:rRNA from 1 species
UGGGGACAACGUUUCGAAAGGAACGCUAAUACCGCAUACGUCCUACGGGAGAAAGCGAGGGGACCUUCGGGCCUUGCGCUAUCAGAUGAGCCUAGGUCGGAUUAGCUAGUUGGNGAGGUAAUGGCUCACCAAGGCGACGAUCCGUAACUGGUCUGAGAGGAUGAUCAGUCACACUGGAACUGAGACACGGUCCAGACUCCUACGGGAGGCAGCAGCG